rnacentral:rRNA from 1 species
AGAGUUUGAUCAUGGCUCAGGACGAACGCUGGCGGCGUGCUUAACACAUGCAAGUCGAACGAUGAACCACUUCGGUGGGGAUUAGUGGCGAACAGGUGAGUAACACGUGGGCAAUCUGCCCUGCACUCUGGGACAAGCCCUGGAAACGGGGUCUAAUACCGGAUACUGAGCCACUUGGGCAUCCAAGUGGUUCGAAAGCUCCGGCGGUGCAGGAUGAGCCCGCGGCCUAUCAGCUUGUUGGUGAGGUAAUGGCUCACCAAGGCGACGACGGGUAGCCGGCCUGAGAGGGCGACCGGCCACACUGGGACUGAGACACGGCCCAGACUCCUACGGGAGGCAGCAGUGGGGAAUAUUGCACAAUGGGCGAAAGCCUGAUGCAGCGACGCCGCGUGAGGGAUGACGGCCUUCGGGUUGUAAACCUCUUUCAGCAGGGAAGAAGCGAAAGUGACGGUACCUGCAGAAGAAGCGCCGGCUAACUACGUGCCAGCAGCCGCGGUAAUACGUAGGGCGCAAGCGUUGUCCGGAAUUAUUGGGCGUAAAGAGCUCGUAGGCGGCUUGUCACGUCGGUUGUGAAAGCCCGGGGCUUAACCCCGGGUCUGCAGUCGAUACGGGCAGGCUAGAGUUCGGUAGGGGAGAUCGGAAUUCCUGGUGUAGCGGUGAAAUGCGCAGAUAUCAGGAGGAACACCGGUGGCGAAGGCGGAUCUCUGGGCCGAUACUGACGCUGAGGAGCGAAAGCGUGGGGAGCGAACAGGAUUAGAUACCCUGGUAGUCCACGCCGUAAACGGUGGGCACUAGGUGUGGGCAACAUUCCACGUUGUCCGUGCCGCAGCUAACGCAUUAAGUGCCCCGCCUGGGAGUACGGCCGCAAGGCUAAAACUCAAAGGAAUUGACGG